CAGAUUUAAGUAAACCUAUAGACAAGCGGAUUUACAAAGGAACACAGCCCACCUGCCAUGAUUUCAACCAUUUGACAGCUACUGCAGAAAGUGUCUCCCUACUUGUGGGCUUCUCUGCAGGACAGGUUCAACUUAUAGACCCUGUAAAGAAAGAGACUAGCAAGCUUUUUAAUGAAGAAAGGUUAAUAGACAA